GCAUGCGAGGAAUCUGCACCAUGGAUGGCAAAAGGAGACCCGUUGCCUCCUGUAACCAGACACUCGGGCUUUCCAGGAGCCCGGGGAGAAGAAAGGGGGCAGUGUGGUCUAGGAAAAUUCAACUUGUCGCUGAUUUGUGCCUGAUGCCUGCUGUCCGUCAGCAGCCUCCCUUACAAUCUUUUUUUCUCUCUCUCCUUUUUUUUCCCUUGCCUUCUCCUUCUUCACUGAAGCCUAGGGGAGCCAGUAAAGAUUAAAUGUGCUUCUCAAAGGCAGCCACUUCAUGCUGCUAUGUCGAAAGGGCCAUUAUUAUUAUUAUAUUUUAAUAGUAAAAGAGAAAAGGAGAGCGGUUGAGCGAGCGAGAGAGAAACUAGGUGUGAUGAUGACAGACUAGCUUUUCUGAGAGGAAAAGGAAAAGGGAAGGGAGAGAAAAAGGAGAGCCUCUGAGCUCAACGGAGGAUUGUGCCUGAGGAGAACCUACAGAGGCCUGGAAUAAAAGAAGAACAAGAAGAAGAAAGAAAUGAAAUGAAAAACAGAAAGGAAAAGGAGAAGAAACAUUUGAAAAAGGGUCAUCUUCCCAUCUGCCUCCCCUCCUUUUCCUUUCAUUUUUGGAGGCGGCACAGGAAAGCCCCACUUCCAGUCUGAUGAGGAAAGCAACAAUCUAUCAGGUACAGAACCAGGGUCUGUCUGCGAAGAUGGAGGGGAAUUAUGCUUCGGAUUCCUCUGAAAUAUUGGCCAAAGGCUUCAAAGAAUCCGCAGCGGGAGGUGCGGGGGGAAUGUCUCUCCCCAGCCCGCACCCAGCCCUUCCCACUUCGCGUCUACCAAAUGACAGCCUGGUGCUCGCUCUUGGUGAUUUGGCCUUGACUUCAGCCAAGCAGCUGAUGCAGACGAAGGCUCCGUUUGCAGGACUGGCAAAGUGCACGCUAAAGAAAUAAGGAAGAAAUUUUUCAAAAAGCAGCUCUGGGGAGGUUUCAUACUGCCCCCCCCCCUUUUUUUUUAAUUUUUAAGUGAAUAUUUUCCAAAUUUGAUCAGUUCCAGCCCCUCCCUCCACUCCCACCCAACUGCCCUUUUUUCUCUCGUCAAAGCAUAAGCUACAGAGUUACAGUCUCGAGAUUUGGUGUAUCGCUUCCUGCCCCCGCCUCCCCUCCCCGCCCCCGUUCUCCGUCCUCUAUUGAAACACCUCGCCCAGCCUAGCGCACUGAGAGCUCUCAUUUCCCCCCCUUGCUCGGGAUGGUGCCACAGGAGGCUGUGCGGGCCCCGCUCCGCUUCGAAUGGAUACAGUUAAGCUAAUGAUCUCGAGAAGAUAUCGUCCUGGAUAAGGGUGGAGCCUACGCCCAAAAACAAGAUUACCUGAAAGAGAAAAGAAAGGGGGAAAACACACAGAGACACAGUCAGGGAGACCACAUGAAGAUGGAGGCAGAGACAGGAGUGAUGAGCCUGCAAGCCAAGGAAUGCCAAGGGCUGCCAGCAGCCACGAGAAGCUGAGAGACACAGAGAACGAGUCCUCUGCCAGAGCCUCCAGAAGGAACUAACCUUGUCAAUACCUUGAUUUCGGACUUCUGGACUCCAGAACUAUAACCCUCCUUCCUCCACCUCACAAAAACUCACAAGCUGCAACCCUUCUGAUGUCCACUCCCACACAAACCAGCUUCAGGCCUUUUUUAAGAGUGCAAGAAAUUCUACCCCCCAAAUAUGGCACCUUGGCAUGCUGAGUAUUUUAAGCUGAAGGAAACAGAGAAAUCCACAGAAGCAGAAAGGUCUUUCUGACCUCUCUUGAAGACCCUCAUGUGACAGGUGUCCUGCCCUACAUCCAGAGAGGAGGAAUGUUCCACAGACAGACUAAGAAGAAUCUGAAGAAUCAGGCCUACUAAGUGCACUCCAGUGGAUGCUGUGGAGCACUACCUCCUUGAGGACCAAGGCACUCCAGCUGCCAGGAAUAUUGGCUGCUAACCUCACACAGCUGAGCCUUCCAUGAAAAUUGCUCUCUGCCAAAGAGAACUUCCUAGUCCAAGGUCAUGUCUACUCUCCAGAGAUGUGACUGGAGUGAUUUGCACCCGGAUGCCUAGACUCGCCAUCUGCUCAGACUGCUCAGAAAGCCCUCCCAUGCAUUCCCCCGCUGCAUACCAGUCCACUCUGCCUGCAGCUGCUGUCUGCAGGACUUCAUAUCUACGCCACACUGUUUAAAACUGUGCUUCAAGAAAUCAUAAAAACAUUUUCCUGCACCUACUACACAGCCUAAGUGCGGCAUAAGUUGACCUUGCUUGCUAAGAAAUGGGGCAAGAAAUGCUUUUUUGUGUGUGUCAUGUCUGUUUGUUUUUCAAUUAAGAGAGGAAAGCAUUAGGCAGAUGGAACGUACAUGUGAGGAUGAGGAGACAGAAAACAAGUAGCCCUUUCCAUCAAGAUAGAGGGUUUUCUGGGGUCGCUGGCUCUUGAACGUCACUCCUGAUUUCUCUUUCCAAGGCACUGUAUCACCAGCCUACUGAGAUUGUGUGGGAGCUUUCAUGGGGGUUGUAUUUCACUAAUGAAAAUAAAUUUUGUGCAUAAUCUGAA